rnacentral:rRNA from 1 species
GAUGAACGCUGGCGGCGUGCCUAAUACAUGCAAGUCGAGCGAACAGACGAGGAGCUUGCUCCUCUGACGUUAGCGGCGGAUGGGUGAGUAACACGUGGAUAACCUACCUAUAAGACUGGGAUAACUUCGGGAAAUCGGAGCUAAUACCGGAUAAUAUAUUGAACCGCAUGGUUCAAUAGUGAAAGACGGUUUUGCUGUCACUUAUAGAUGGAUCCGCGCCGCAUUAGCUAGUUGGUAAGGUAACGGCUUACCAAGGCAACGAUGCGUAGCCGACCUGAGAGGGUGAUCGGCCACACUGGAACUGAGACACGGUCCAGACUCCUACGGGAGGCAGCAGUAGGGAAUCUUCCGCAAUGGGCGAAAGCCUGACGGAGCAACGCCGCGUGAGUGAUGAAGGUCUUCGGAUCGUAAAACUCUGUUAUUAGGGAAGAACAAAUGUGUAAGUAACUAUGCACGUCUUGACGGUACCUAAUCAGAAAGCCACGGCUAACUACGUG